GGCGGGCUUACCAUGUUAGUCGAACGAUGAACCACUUCGGUGGGGAUUAGUGGCGAACGGGUGAGUAACACGUGGGCAAUCUGCCCUCCACUCUGGGACAAGCCCUGGAAACGGGGUCUAAUACCGGAUAUCACUUCUGCCCGCAUGGGCGGGGGUUGAAAGCUCCGGCGGUGGAGGAUGAGCCCGCGGCCUAUCAGCUUGUUGGUGAGGUAACGGCUCACCAAGGCGACGACGGGUAGCCGGCCUGAGAGGGCGACCGGCCACACUGGGACUGARACACGGCCCAGACUCCUACGGGAGGCAGCAGUGGGGAAUAUUGCACAAUGGGCGCAAGCCUGAUGCAGCGACGCCGCGUGAGGGAUGACGGCCUUCGGGUUGUAAACCUCUUUCAGCAGGGAAGAAGCGCAAGUGACGGUACCUGCAGAAGAAGCGCCGGCUAACUACGUGCCAGCAGCCGCGGUAAUACGUAGGGCGCAAGCGUUGUCCGGAAUUAUUGGGCGUAAAGAGCUCGUAGGCGGCUUGUCACGUCGGGUGUGAAAGCCCGGGGCUUAACCCCGGGUCUGCAUUCGAUACGGGCUGGCUAGAGUGUGGUAGGGGAGAUCGGAAUUCCUGGUGUAGCGGUGAAAUGCGCAGAUAUCAGGAGGAACACCGGUGGCGAAGGCGGAUCUCUGGGCCAUUACUGACGCUGAGGAGCGAAAGCGUGGGGAGCGAACAGGAUUAGAUACCCUGGUAGUCCACGCCGUAAACGGUGGGAACUAGGUGUUGGCGACAUUCCACGUCGUCGGUGCCGCAGCUAACGCAUUAAGUUCCCCGCCUGGGGAGUACGGCCGCAAGGCUAAAACUCAAAGGAAUUGACGGGGGCCCCGCACAAGCAGCGGAGCAUGUGGCUUAAUUCGACGCAACGCGAAGAACCUUACCAAGGCUUGACAUACACCGGAAACGGCCAGAGAUGGUCGCCCCCUUGUGGUCGGUGUACAGGUGGUGCAUGGCUGUCGUCAGCUCGUGUCGUGAGAUGUUGGGUUAAGUCCCGCAACGAGCGCCAACCCUUGUUCCCGUGUUGCCAGCAUGCCCUUCGGGGUGAUUGGGGAACUCACGGGAGACCGCCGGGUCAAACUCGAAGGAAGGGGGGGGGGAACGACACGCUCUCAAA
rnacentral:rRNA from 1 species